CCAGCGGACAAGUUCAGUGUCAGCGAAGAGUUCAGGGUCGUUAGCCUGUAAUUAAGCAGGGGAAAGAAACGAGAAACGAGUUUAGCCUGGUGCGUGUUGCACACGGCGUAUGAUUAAUGUGCUGAGUGGACACGCAAAUCGCAGUGCACUUGACCCCAUCGUGUGUUAUCUACUCAGCUUAUUCAUUUUGCCUGUUCAUACGCUCUACGCACUAUUGAUUUUUCCAGCUGUUGCGACUUGUGGUGCGACAUUCGUGCUGCCAUUGUUGGCUUUUCUUUGGGUGCUGAUAAGAAGAGCCAACAGGUGGUUGAAAAUUGGGGAAAAGUUCACCUGGACCUCUACAGCCUAAACUUAUUUAUUCGGCGAAGGACCUCUAUCCUGGACAGACAGUCACCAGCCGUCGAUGCAGAGGAAGAUAAACUGGUCAGCGAAGCGCGGUACAUUUGUUUAGUUAGUCCAAACAAUUUUCACGCAGGCGCUCUUUGAUUCAUUCAGAUACAGUGGUUCAAAAGCUAUUGAAACUAAACCAAACUUGAAAGACCUUUCAUAAGGCGAAUGUUUUUCAGACCUAACAAAACUCUGCUUAAAUAUUUAAGCCGAUUAAAAUCACACCUAACAUAUCAUAUUUAAAUUGUUAUAUACUUUUAGCUUUCAAUAAACCUGGGGCACUAGUUCCACUUCCCAAAACACUGAAGUAAAUUGAAUCAAAUUUUUUGAGUUUUCAGAAUUUUUAUAUAUAUUUUUUUUUAAAUAUUCCAUUCAGCUCUACAUUCACAAUUACAUAUUUGUAAUAUUGUUUUUUGUUUUCCUUUUUAAAUUACAUAAUAUAUAUUUAAAUAUAUAUUUAUGUAUACGGUUUAAAAUGUAUGUGUAUAUAUAUAACUUUUUGCUCUCGAAUCGAGGGACUCAAAAUUCAAAUAACUUGACGCGAUCGAAAGUGGCUAAAGGGGGCGCGGGGAAUCCCCCCAUUGGGGGCAGUGGGCUGUAUGUGUUUGGGAGGAGUGUCAUACAUAUAGAUACAUUUAUACGUACAAACCUAGAAUAUAAAGAACAGAUGACUGGAAAGGAAAGAAUGUGUGUGUGAUCCUUCACAUCUUUAACUUAGUCUUUAUGGUUUAUGCUGUGUGUUGGCAUAUGUAUGUGUGUAUCCGUGUGUGUGUGUUUGCAUGUUUAUGGAUUUAGUGCAUAUUUAAAGAUUUAAGGUCUUGAU